GCGCGCAGGCGCUGUGGCUCUGCUAUGGCCGCCGCCGCCGGGAGGAACGUGGUGUUCGUGACCGGCAACGCCAAGAAGCUAGAGGAGGUCCUUCAGAUCCUUGGGGAUGCGUUUCCGUACAGACUGGUCGCAAAAAAAAUUGACUUGCCAGAAUACCAAGGGGAACCAGACGAGAUCUCCAUUCAGAAAUGCCGGGAAGCAGCAAAUCAGGUCAUUUCCUUUUCCGCUUUCCC